rnacentral:rRNA from 1 species
CCUACGGGAGGCAGCCGUGAGGAAUAUUGGUCAAUGGACGAGAGUCUGAACCAGCCAAGUAGCGUGAAGGAUGACUGCCCUAUGGGUUGUCAACUUCUUUUAUAUGGGAAUAAAAUGUUCCACGUGUGGGAUUUUGUAUGUACCAUAUGACUAAGGAUCGGCUAACUCCGUGCCAGCAGCCGCGGUAAUACGGAGGAUCCGAGCGUUAUCCGGAUUUAUUGGGUUUAAAGGGAGCGUAGGUGGAUUGUUAAGUCAGUUGUGAAAGUUUGCGGCUCAACCGUAAAAUUGCAGUUGAAACUGGCAGUCUUGAGUACAGUAGAGGUGGGCGGAAUUCGUGGUGUAGCGGUGAAAGGCUUAGAUAUCACGAAGAACUCCGAUUGCGAAGGCAGCUCACUGGACUGCAACUGACACGGAGGCUCGAAAGUGUGGGUAUCAAACAGGAUUAGAAACCCGGGUAGUC